rnacentral:misc_RNA from 1 species
GAUGAAGAACGCAGCGAAAUGCGAUAAGUAAUGUGAAUUGCAGAAUUCAGUGAAUCAUCGAAUCUUUGAACGCAUCUUGCGCUCCUUGGUAUUCUGAGGAGCAUGCCUGUUUGAGUGUCAUUAAAUUCUCAACUACACUGACUUUGAAUUGGUGUGGCUUGGAUUUGGGGGGAAAAUUGUUGUGGGCUUUUUGUAUAGUCUGCUCCCCUGAAAUUGAUUAGCGGUACCUUUGUGGAACUGUCUACAGGUGUGAUAAUUAUCUACAUCUUAGACAUCUGCUGGAAUGCUGCUUUCUAAACCUUACUUGUAUUGACAAUCUUGACCUCAAAUCAGGUAGGACUACCCGCUGAACUUAAGCAUAUCAAUAAGCGGAAGA